rnacentral:tRNA from 1 species
GUGGCUUGUGGCUCAGUGGCAGAGCGCUUGCCUCGCAUGUGUGUAAAGCACUGGGUAUGUGAGGCACUGGGUGUGUGAGGCACUGGGUUCAAUCCCCAGUACCACA